rnacentral:rRNA from 1 species
GACGAACGCUGGCGGCGUGCCUAAUACAUGCAAGUCGAACGAAGCUGUUUUAACUGGUGCUUGCACCGACUUAAACAACUGAGUGGCGAACGGGUGAGUAACACGUGGGUAACCUGCCCCAAAGCGGGGGAUAACAUCUGGAAACAGAUGCUAAUACCGCAUAAUCACAGAAACCACAUGGUUUCUGUGUCAAAGAUGGUUUCGGCUAUCACUUUGGGAUGGAUCCGCGGCGUAUUAGCUAGUUGGUAAGGUAAUGGCUUACCAAGGCAAUGAUACGUAGCCGAACUGAGAGGUUGAUCGGCCACAUUGGGACUGAGACACGGCCCAAACUCCUACGGGAGGCAGCAGUAGGGAAUCUUCCACAAUGGACGAAAGUCUGAUGGAGCAACGCCGCGUGAGUGAAGAAGGUUUUCGGAUCGUAAAACUCUGUUGUCAGAGAAGAACGUGUGCGAGAGUAACUGUUCGUGCAGUGACGGUAUCUGGCCAGAAAGCCACGGCUAACUACGUGCCAGCCGCCGCCGUAA